rnacentral:snRNA from 1 species
GUGUUCACUUUGUCAGCACAUACGUUAAAAUUGAAACUAUUCAGAGAAGAUUAGCAUGGCCUCUGCCCAAGGAUGACAUGCAAAUUCAUGAAGCAUUCUGUAUUUUU